rnacentral:misc_RNA from 1 species
GAUGAAGAACGUAGUGAAAUGCGAUAAGUAAUGUGAAUUGCAGAAUUCAGUGAAUCAUCGAAUCUUUGAACGCACCUUGCACCCUUUGGCAUUCCGAAGGGUAUGCUCGUUUGAGUGUCAUUGUACUCUCACACUUCCAAUCUUUGGAUUGGGAGCGGUGGACUUGGGUGUUGCUGCUUACUGUGGCUCACCUCAAAUCGAUUCGUGCACCUCUUGGUUGGACAUAGUACGGCGUGAUAAGUGUCUUCGCCGGCACCUCAGUAGAGGGUGGCUGAUCAGGAGCUCUGUGCUUCAAACCGUCCUCGGACAACAACUGACAACUUGACCUCAAAUCGAGUAGGACUACCCGCUGAACUUAAGCAUAUCAAUAAGCGGAGGA